AACGAACGCUGGCGGCAGGCUUAACACAUGCAAGUCGAACGCCCCGCAAAGGGGGAGUGGCAGACGGGUGAGUAACGCGUGGGAACCUACCCAGUUCUACGGAACAACUGAGGGAAACUUCAGCUAAUACCGUAUACGCCCUACGGGGAAAGAUUUAUCGGAAUUGGAUGGGCCCGCGUUGGAUUAGCUAGUUGGUGGGGUAAUGGCCUACCAAGGCGACGAUCCAUAGCUGGUCUGAGAGGAUGAUCAGCCACACUGGGACUGAGACACGGCCCAGACUCCUACGGGAGGCAGCAGUGGGGAAUAUUGGACAAUGGGCGCAAGCCUGAUCCAGCCAUGCCGCGUGAGUGAUGAAGGCCUUAGGGUUGUAAAGCUCUUUCAGUGGGACGAUAAUGACGGUACCCACAGAAGAAGCCCCGGCUAAACUUCGUG
rnacentral:rRNA from 1 species